rnacentral:rRNA from 1 species
AUUGAACGCUGGCGGCAGGCCUAACACAUGCAAGUCGAACGAGUGGCGGACGGGUGAGUAAUGUCUGGGAAACUGCAUGAUGGAGGGGGAUCUCUACUGGAAACGGUAGCUAAUACCGCAUAACAUCAGCUGCGCCCAGAUGGGAUUAGCUAGUGGGUGGGGCAACCGCUCACCCAGGGGACGAUCCCUAGCUGGUCUGAGAGGAUGACCAGGCAAACUGGAACUGAGACAAGGUCCAAACUCCUACGGGAGGCAGCAGUGGGGAAUAUUGCACAAGUGGCGCAAGCCUGAUGCAGCCAUGCCGCGUGUAUGAAGAAGGCCGUCGGGUUGUAAAGUACUUUCAGCGGGGAGGCGGUACCCGCAGAAGAAGCACCGGCUAACUCCGUGCCAGCAGCCGCGGUAAUUC